rnacentral:rRNA from 1 species
GAGUUUGAUCAUGGCUCAGGAUGAACGCUGGCGGCGUGCUUAACACAUGCAAGUCGAACGAUGAUCCCAGCUUGCUGGGGGAUUAGUGGCGAACGGGUGAGUAACACGUGAGUAACCUGCCCUUGACUCUGGGAUAAGCCUGGGAAACUGGGUCUAAUACCGGAUACGACCAUCUGGCGCAUGUCAUGGUGGUGGAAAGCUUUUGUGGUUUUGGAUGGACUCGCGGCCUAUCAGCUUGUUGGUGGGGUAAUGGCCUACCAAGGCGACGACGGGUAGCCGGCCUGAGAGGGUGACCGGCCACACUGGGACUGAGACACGGCCCAGACUCCUACGGGAGGCAGCAGUGGGGAAUAUUGCACAAUGGGCGCAAGCCUGAUGCAGCGACGCCGCGUGAGGGAUGACGGCCUUCGGGUUGUAAACCUCUUUCAGUAGGGAAGAAGCGAAAGUGACGGUACCUGCAGAAGAAGCGCCGGCUAACUACGUGCCAGCAGCCGCGGUAAUACGUAGGGCGCAAGCGUUAUCCGGAAUUAUUGGGCGUAAAGAGCUCGUAGGCGGUUUGUCGCGUCUGCUGUGAAAGACCGGGGCUCAACUCCGGUUCUGCAGUGGGUACGGGCAGACUAGAGUGCAGUAGGG